CUUUUUUUUGUAUUUUUAUUUUUAAAUGUUUUAAAUAAAUAUGUUUUAAAAUCUCAUUUAGUUAAUUUUUAUAUUCAUUUUUUAUCACGUCAAUAUCAAAACGACGUCGUUUUGCACUUACUUCACCGGAAAAUUGCCACGUUAGCAUUUUGGCCAAAUUUUUUCCAUGAAUUGGCACAUAAGUGAUCAAUUUUACUCCGAUUUGAGCACUUUGAGUAUUAUUUUCGUAACUUUUGACACUUAUGUGCCAAUUUUUGGCACUCUAGGGUUCGAGUGUCCAUAUAUGCUACUGCUUCUUUGUUUUGUCAAAUGAUGUGAGUGGUCUGUCGUGGUUGACUUAAUAAAGAACAUUCGUCCUCGAAAUGUUGUCCCUGCAUCAGCAACAAAAACAAUGGAGUCUUAUGCUGCUAAGUGAGGUCGGUCAUGAAUCCUAUUAUGACUUUGCACUUGAUCCUUUGUCGAUUCUCUUCCAAAUAUGGAUAUUACCCUACUUAUCCCACUGAGUUGGGUUGGCCAUAUCUUUCAUUGUCAUUUCCUUUCGCAUCUUUUUGGAGCUUCCCUUACCCCUUUUAAUGAAUGUAUACACCCAUUGGGCAUGCGGCCCAACGGUAAGGGAAUUGAGCGGGACGGAAACAUUUAGCUUCAAAUGUGGAGUUUGACUUUUGUACUUUGCGAAGAGGUCGAGUAAAAGUGUGAGAUAAGAUUUAUAAAAUAAAAUAAAAUAAAAUGAAUAUAGCCAAUCUUUAUUCACACAUCAUUUUCAGUGGGGCAUUUGAAGGCUUUCAUUCAACAUUACCAUUUCAUCUAAGAUGCAUUCUCUUAUCUCAAAACGCCUUCGAGAUGUCAUUGCUACUGUGGCUGUGAUGACAUAGUGAAAACAAUUUAUUAUCUUUAUUCAUGUAUUAUGAAUACCAUCCUAAUUGACAUAAAAAUAUGUCAUGCUUUCAUUUUUGAUUGACUUAUUCUACCACGUGUCAUUACUACGUUACCUAACCAAUAAUGACAUGACCGUCACAUAAAACAUCUUCUUCAUGUGUAUGGGAUGGGAAGAAGUAAUGAUAAUUGAUUCAAAUAAUCGAUAAAAAUGGAAUUGCGGAUAGUGUAGUGGGAAAUGAGGUUCGGUUUAAAUUUGAUAACUACAAUAAUCGUUAUCAAACUCUUUCAAUAAGUAAAAGGAUAAUUAGGAGAGGAAAAAGCCAUCGAAACUAUCAUAAAAUAGAGAAUGACAUCCCACAAUAGGGGUUAAGUAUGUGUUUGAUUCAGCGCUUUGCAAAAACAUCCCAAAAGUCACUUAAACCAAACCUUAUUUGCUCAAAGCAAAUAAUGGGACUUUGCGUCUCAAAGACUGUUGGGGACUCUCAAAACUCUUCUGAAAUCACCCUAAAAACCCCGUUACUAUAAUGUCAUCAUUGGCCUAGUAUCUUCCUAGUCAGAAUGACUAUAUUUUUGUUACGGGAGGGGCUCCUUAAACCGUAUCUUUUGAUUAGUGGGAAAUAAACAUGAGUCGUAUUCAUGAUUUGGGAUCCAAUUUAAUUUAAUUGGUUGGACAAAAUUUUAUUUAAUCAAUAAUAGAAACAGAGUUCGUUUUAUCGUCCCGUGAGGCGAGUUUGAGUUUUCUUUGUUUUCUUACCGAAAGGAUCCUGACGAGGCCCAGUCCGAGGUUUCCAGAUGGACCGACCAGAUUCGCCUUUUCACUCGAACGUUCGUCUGUCGAACCUCGAAAGACCGCGAAUGUACUAGAAUGCUCCUCCGUUCCCUAUUUAGCAACCGAACGCAUCCUCUUCCAGACCACAUCGUCUGACGAUUGCAAUUCCUGUCCUAGUCCAAGCAUUCUGUCAAACACUUCUUAGUUAUUCGCUGGUAAUUCCACAACCAUGUCGCUCAUCCCAAGCUGGUUCGGUGGCCGUCGCAGCAACGUCUUGGACCCUUUCUCCCUCGACCUCUGGGACCCCUUCAAGGACUUCCCUUUCCCUUCCUCAGCCCUCUCCGCCUCUAAUUUCCCCCAGACGUUCGGGGAGAACACUGCCUUCGUGAACACGAGAAUCGACUGGAAGGAGACCCCGGAAGCCCACGUGUUCAAGG
rnacentral:lncRNA from 1 species